rnacentral:tRNA from 1 species
GGUUUUAUAGUUAAUUUAUAAUGUUGGUUUUGUAAGUCAAAGAUGGUGUUUACACCUAAGACCA